rnacentral:rRNA from 1 species
GGCGCGCAAAUUACCCAAUCCUAAUACNGGGAGGUAGUGACAAGAAAUAACAAUACNGGACUUUAAAUAGUUUUGUAAUUGGAAUGAGUUAAGUAUAAACCCCUUUACAAGUAUCAAUUGGAGGGCAAGUCNGGUGCCAGCAGCCGCGGUAAUUCCAGCUCCAAUAGCGUAUAUUAAAGUUGUUGCAGUUAAAAAGCUCGUAGUUGGAUUUCUGUUAAUAAUUUAUAUAUAAUAUUUUAUUAAUAUUUAUAUAGUAUUAACAUAAUUCAUAUUACUAUAUUUUAUAGUAUAUGAAAUUUUACUUUGAGAAAAUUAGAGUGCUUAAAGCAGGCAUUAGCCUUGAAUACUCCAGCAUGGAAUAAUAUAAAAGAUUUUUAUCUUUUUUAUUGGUUCUAAGAUAAAAAUAAUGAUUAAUAGGGACAGUUGGGGGCAUUUGUAUUUAACAGUCAGAGGUGAAAUUCUUAGAUUUGUUAAAGACAAACUAGUGCGAAAGCAUUUGCCAAGGAUGUUUUCAUUAAUCAAGAACGAAAGUUAGGGGAUCGAAGACGAUCAGAUACCGUCGUAGUCUUAACCAUAAACUAUGCC